AAUAGCCGCAGAUAUUCUGUGCUAAGGUAGCAUAAUCAUUUGUUUUUUAAUUGAAAACUAGAAUGAAAGGUUUAACGUUUUAAUUACUUUAUUAUUAAUAUUAAUUUAACUUUUACUAAAUAUAAAAAUAUAUUUAUAAAAUAAAUAGACGACAAGACCCUAUUGAACUUAACUUAUGUUUAGCUGGGGCAGCUAUUUAAUUAAAACUUUAAUUAUAUAUAAUUUUAUAAAUAUCCAAUAAAAUUGAUUAUUUAAUCAAGUUACCAUAGGGAUAACAGCGUUAUAUUAUUUUGAAGUUCAUAUUUAAAAUAAUGUUUGCGACCUCGAUGUUGAAUUAAUAUCCUUUUCUAACGCAACAGUUGUAAAAGUAGGUCUGUUCGACCUUUAAUAUAUUACAUGAUCKGAG
rnacentral:rRNA from 1 species